CGGAAUUACUGGGCGUAAAGGGCUCGUAGGCGGCCAACUAAGUCAGACGGGAAAUCCCUCGGCUUAACCGGGGAACUGCAUCUGAUACUGGAUGGCUUGAGAUUGGGAGAGGGAUGCGGAAUUCCAGGUGUAGCGGUGAAAUGCGUAGAUAUCUGGAGGAACACCGGUGGCGAAGGCGGCAUCCUGGACCAACACUGACGCUGAGGAGCGAAAGCCAGGGGAGCAAACGGG
rnacentral:rRNA from 1 species